rnacentral:rRNA from 1 species
UACGUAGGGUGCAAGCGUUAAUCGGAAUAACUGGGCGUAAAGCGUGCGCAGGCGGUUGAAGAAGUCUGAUGUGAAAGCCCCGGGCUUAACCUGGGAACGGCAUUGGAAACUGAUCAGCUAGAGUACGUCAGAGGGGGGUAGAAUUCCACGUGUAGCAGUGAAAUGCGUAGAGAUGUGGAGGAAUACCGAUGGCGAAGGCAGCCCCCUGGGAUGAUACUGACGCUCAAGCACGAAAGCGUGGGGAGCAAACAGGAUUAGAUACCCUGGUAGUCCACGCCCUAAACGAUGUCAAUUAGCUGUUGGGGGUUUGAAUCCUUGGUAGCGAAGCAAACGCGAGAAAUUGACCGCCUGGGGAGUACGGCCGCAAGGUUAAA